rnacentral:rRNA from 1 species
CCUACGGGGGGCAGCAGUGGGGAAUAUUGGACAAUGGGGGGAACCCUGAUCCAGCCAUGCCGCGUGUGUGAAGAAGGCCCUCGGGUUGUAAAGCACUUUCAGUGAGGAAGAACGCCUGGUGGUUAAUACCCAUCAGGAAAGACAUCACUCACAGAAGAAGCACCGGCUAACUCCGUGCCAGCAGCCGCGGUAAUACGGAGGGUGCGAGCGUUAAUCGGAAUUACUGGGCGUAAAGCGCGCGUAGGUGGCUUGAUAAGCCGGGUGUGAAAGCCCCGGGCUCAACCUGGGAACGGCAUCCGGAACUGUCAAGCUAGAGUGCAGGAGAGGAAGGUAGAAUUCCCGGUGUAGCGGUGAAAUGCGUAGAGAUCGGGAGGAAUACCAGUGGCGAAGGCGGCCUUCUGGACUGACACUGACACUGAGGGGCGAAAGCGUGGGUAGCAAACAGGAUUAGAUACCCUAGUAGUC